UUAAUUGAAGAGUUUGAUCAUGGCUCAGAUUGAACGCUGGCGGCAGGCCUAACACAUGCAAGUCGAGCGGUAGCACAGGGAGCUUGCUCCUGGGUGACGAGCGGCGGACGGGUGAGUAAUGUCUGGGAAACUGCCUGAUGGAGGGGGAUAACUACUGGAAACGGUAGCUAAUACCGCAUAACGUCUACGGACCAAAGUGGGGGACCUUCGGGCCUCAUGCCAUCAGAUGUGCCCAGAUGGGAUUAGCUAGUAGGUGGGGUAAUGGCUCACCUAGGCGACGAUCCCUAGCUGGUCUGAGAGGAUGACCAGCCACACUGGAACUGAGACACGGUCCAGACUCCUACGGGAGGCAGCAGUGGGGAAUAUUGCACAAUGGGCGCAAGCCUGAUGCAGCCAUGCCGCGUGUGUGAAGAAGGCCUUCGGGUUGUAAAGCACUUUCAGCGAGGAGGAAGGGUUCAGUGUUAAUAGCACUGU
rnacentral:rRNA from 1 species